rnacentral:lncRNA from 1 species
GUUUCCCCUGAGCAAACUACUCUGUUUCUCUACUGAAACUGAAACAGGGCUAGAGGAGAGGAGAAAUUUAGCAGCUUGAAGACCAGAGGAUCUAAUGCUUCAAAUGGUGGUCUUCUAUAAAUGCAGAUGACUUGUGAAUUAUGAAUCAGGAAGCCUACUAAAGGGUAUAUUAUUUCAAGACAAGCAAUAUGUUGAUGCUGUGAUGGCCUUUGUCAGACUGACUGUUUUUCAACUACCCACAAUUUACCAAACGGACACAGAUAAAGUUUCACAUCAGUGCCUGUCAUCAUGCAAAUUUAUUCUCAAUGGGAUUACUCGGAACUAUGCUGGAGGAGUUCUGAGGAAGGGAUGCCCCGCUUUCUCUGAGAGUGAUUUAACAUUGAAGAGUUUGCCUUGAUGUUACCUCACACCCAGACACCUGAGAGACAUUUAGGAAAUAUUUUAACCUAGGCCUUUCACAGGACUCAUUUUUACUUCAAGAUUGGAUAACCUUUUUUGGAACAUGAAAGCAUGAUCACUUGUUUUCUUAUUUAAACAAAACACUUCCUUGGAACUAUAAACAGGGAGUGAGAAAAUUUCUCUUGGCACACAUACUCAUGCUCUUUGCAAGAAAUAUUUAUUCAUUCACUGUUAUCAAAUAAAUGUAAAAUUACAUCUUUCCUGCUAAAGCA